rnacentral:rRNA from 1 species
GACGAACGCUGGCGGCGUGCUUAACACAUGCAAGUCGAACGGAAAGGCCCCUUUGGGGGUACUCGAGUGGCGCACGGGGGCGUAACACGUGAGUAACCUGCCCUUGACUUCGGGAUAACUUCAGGAAACUGGGGCUAAUACCGGAAAGGAAUCCUUGCUGCAUGGUGGGGGUUGGAAAGCUUCGGCGGUUUUGGAUGGACUCGCGGCUUAUCAGCUUGUUGGUGGGGUAGUGGCUUACCAAGGCUUUGACGGGUAGCCGGCCUGAGAGGGCGACCGGCCACCUUGGGACUGAGAGACGGCCCAGACGCCUACGGGUGGCAGCAGGGGGGAAGCUUGCACCAUGGGCGGAAGCCUGAUGCAGCAGCGCCUCGUGCGGGAUGACGGUCUUCGGGUUGUAAACCGCUUUCAGCAGGGGCGAAGCUUGUGGUGACGGUACCUGCAGAAGAAGCACCGGCUAACUACGUG